rnacentral:rRNA from 1 species
AACGAACGCUGGCGGCAUGCCUAACACAUGCAAGUCGUACGAGACCUUCGGGUCUAGUGGCGCACGGGUGCGUAACGCGUGGGAACCUGCCCUUAGGUUCGGCAUAACUCCCCGAAAGGGGUGCUAAUACCGGAUCAUGUCUUCGGACCAAAGAUUUAUCACCUUUGGAUGGGCCCGCGUUGGAUUAGCUAGUUGGUAGGGUAAAAGCCUACCAAGGCGACGAUCCAUAGCUGGUCUGAGAGGAUGAUCAGCCACACUGGGACUGAGACACGGCCCAGACUCCUACGGGAGGCAGCAGUGGGGAAUAUUGGACAAUGGGCGAAAGCCUGAUCCAGCAAUGCCGCGUGAGUGAUGAAGGCCUUAGGGUUGUAAAGCUCUUUUACCCGGGAUGAUAAUGACAGUACCGGGAGAAUAAGCUCCGGCUAACUCCGUG